rnacentral:rRNA from 1 species
UACGUAGGGGGGCUAGCGUUGUCCGGAAUCAUUGGGCGUAAAGAGCGCGUAGGCGGCCAGAUAAGUCCGGUGUGAAAGUCAAAGGCUCAACCUUUGAAUGCCGCUGGAAACUGUCUGGCUAGAGUCCGGAAGAGGUGAGUGGAAUUCCGAGUGUAGAGGUGAAAUUCGUAGAUAUUCGGAGGAACACCAGUGGCGAAGGCGGCCAUCUGGACCGCAACUGACGCUGAGGCGCGAAAGCGUGGGGAGCAAACAGG